rnacentral:rRNA from 1 species
UACGGAGGGUGCAAGCGUUGUUCGGAUUUACUGGGCGUAAAGUGUGUCUAGGUGGAAUUGUAAGUCAGGUGUGAAAGACCGAGGCUCAACCUCGGAAUUGCGCCUGAAACUACUUUUCUUGAGUAAUGGAGGGGUGAGUGGAAUUCCAUGUGUAGCAGUGAAAUGCGUAGAUAUGUGGAAGAACACCGGUGGCGUAGGCGACUCACUGGCCAUUUACUGACACUGAAGCACGAAAGCGUGGGGAGCAAACAGG